GAUGAACGCUGGCGGCGUGCCUAAUACAUGCAAGUCGAGCGAACAGACGAGGAGCUUGCUCCUCUGACGUUAGCGGCGGACGGGUGAGUAACACGUGGAUAACCUACCUAUAAGACUGGGAUAACUUCGGGAAACCGGAGCUAAUACCGGAUAAUAUAUUGAACCGCAUGGUUCAAUAGUGAAAGACGGUUUUGCUGUCACUUAUAGAUGGAUCCGCGCCGCAUUAGCUAGUUGGUAAGGUAACAGCUUACCAAGGCAACGAUGCGUAGCCGACCUGAGAGGGUGAUCGGCCACACUGGAACUGAGACACGGUCCAGACUCCUACGGGAGGCAGCAGUAGGGAAUCUUCCGCAAUGGGCGAAAGCCUGACGGAGCAACGCCGCGUGAGUGAUGAAGGUCUUCGGAUCGUAAAACCCUGUUAUUAGGGAAGAACAAAUGUGUAAGUAACUAUGCACGUCUUGACGGUACCUAAUCAGAAAGCCACGGCUAACUACGUG
rnacentral:rRNA from 1 species